GAUGAAGAACGCAGCGAAAUGCGAUAAGUAAUGUGAAUUGCAGAAUUCAGUGAAUCAUCGAAUCUUUGAACGCACAUUGCGCCCGCCAGCAUUCUGGCGGGCAUGCCUGUUCGAGCGUCAUUUCAACCCUCGACCUCCCUUUGGGGAAGUCGGCGUUGGGGACCGGCAGCACACCGCCGGCCCUGAAAUGGAGUGGCGGCCCGUCCGCGGCGACCUCUGCGUAGUAAACCAACUCGCACCGGAACNNNNACGUGGCCACGCCGUAAAACACCCAACUUCUGAACGUUGACCUCGAAUCAGGUAGGACUACCCGCUGAACUUAAGCAUAUCAAUAAGCGGAGGA
rnacentral:misc_RNA from 1 species